ACGUGCGUCCAAGACUCACUGAGGAUGCUAGCUUGUCUCCAGCCCGCUGGCUCCCUGGCCCUGGGCUCAGGAGGAAGUGGCUCCCCCUGCCCGUCUGGCUUCUGUCUAUCUGCAGUUCAGUGCAGCAAGCCUGCCGACUGCUCCUGGCUCCUGCUGUCUGGGUCACGAUGAUGGCUCUGUAGCUGUGUCUUGAAUCAGCUUGCCUCUGGAAGGGUGAGAGAAAGCGGAUCUGGCUUAUCCAACUCUCUCCCUUCUCUGGUAGAGGCUAAAUCCUUGCAGCUCUGGCAGGACCCCCCACCCCCACCCUCGGCUUCCCACCAGAGCUUGCCCAUGCUUGCUCAGCAGGAACAAGGCCCAAAGAGCUGUCGGAGCAUCUCCCAGACUGCGGCUGCUGAGAGCUAUCUCCUCGCAAGGUGGCCCCAUCUCCUGCUGGUUUCUGGCCAUCAGCCUACUUGCCAACACUCUGACCCCGAGAGCGGUCUCCACCAAUCCCGCUUCCCUAUGGAGACACCCUGGCCAGCUGGGAAAACUCUGCUGCCCUCAGGGCUCCACUCUGACUGUUCCAGAUAACUUCUCCACCUGGCAUUCCAUUCCAGCUUUCAUGGUGCUGCCAAUGCCACGUGCGCACUCCCACACUGCCAACCCCUCCCCAUCAGAACUGUUCAAAAGUACCCAGCUAGGGGCGCCUGGGUGGCACAGCGGUUG